rnacentral:rRNA from 1 species
UACGUAGGGGGCAAGCGUUGUCCGGAAUUAUUGGGCGUAAAGAGCUCGUAGGCGGUUUGUCGCGUCUGCUGUGAAAACUCAGGGCUUAACUCUGAGCUUGCAGUGGGUACGGGCAGACUAGAGUGCGGUAGGGGAGACUGGAAUUCCUGGUGUAGCGGUGAAAUGCGCAGAUAUCAGGAGGAACACCGGUGGCGAAGGCGGGUCUCUGGGCCGUAACUGACGCUGAGGAGCGAAAGCAUGGGGAGCGAACAGG